UAAACAAAAGCCAAAAUAGAGGCGCCUAGCUGUUAAUUAGGAGAUUGUAAGUAUGAUUACUUGUUUAG
rnacentral:tRNA from 1 species